AUUCUUUUGGUUUGCACUAGGAUAAAAAGAGAAAAAAAAAAAACCAUGAGCUUUUUGUCUGUUUUUAGGUGGCCCAAAUUGAAAUAGGGUAUGCAUUC